rnacentral:tRNA from 1 species
GAGGGUAGAGCUCAGUGGUAGAGCACAUGCUUAGCAUGCAUGAGGGCCUGGGUUCAAUCCCCAGUACCUCCA